rnacentral:rRNA from 1 species
GACGUAGGGCGCGAGCGUUGUCCGGAUUUAUUGGGCGUAAAGAGCUCGUAGGCGGCUUGUUGCGUCGUCCGUGAAAACCUGUGGCUCAACUACAGGCUUGCGGUCGAUACGGGCGGGCUGGAGUUCGGUAGGGGAGACUGGAAUUCCUGGUGUAGCGGUGAAAUGCGCAGAUAUCAGGAGGAACACCGGUGGCGAAGGCGGGUCUCUGGGCCGAUACUGACGCUGAGGAGCGAAAGCGUGGGGAGCAAACAGG